rnacentral:rRNA from 1 species
ACAACGCUGGCGGCAGGCUAACACCUGCAGUCGAGCGCGCCUUCGGGCGAGCGGCGGACGGGUUAGUAACGCGUGGGAACGUGCCCAGAUCUACGGAAUAGCCACUGGAAACGGUGAGUAAUACCGUAUACGCCCUUCGGGGGAAAGAUUUAUCGGAUUUGGAUCGGCCCGCGUUAGAUUAGGUAGUUGGUGGGGUAACGGCCUACCAAGCCUACGAUCUAUAGCUGGUUUUAGAGGAUGAUCAGCAACACUGGGACUGAGACACGGCCCAGACUCCUACGGGAGGCAGCAGUGGGGAAUCUUGGACAAUGGGGGCAACCCUGAUCCAGCCAUGCCGCGUGAGUGAAGAAGGCCCUAGGGUCGUAAAACUCUUUCGCCUGUGAUGAUAAUGACAGUAGCAGGUAAAGAAACCCCGGCUAACUCCGUGCCAGCAGCCGCGGUAAUACGGAGGGGGUUAGCGUUGUUCGGAAUUACUGGGCGUAAAGCGCACGUAGGCGGAUUAGAAAGUUAGAGGUGAAAUCCCAGGGGCUCAACCCUGGAACUGCCUUUAAAACUACUAGUCUAGAGUUCGAGAGAGGUGAGUGGAAUU